rnacentral:lncRNA from 1 species
CCUCAGCCUCCCCAGUAGCUGGGACUAUAGUACCAGAGAUGUCUCCAAGAGCACCAGCAACCCCAGCUAUCUGGAUCUGAAGUGGAUAUGCUCAGAGACAUCCUGGCCCACCCCAAAGAAGAUGCUGCUGCACUCAGAAGACGCCAGAGCUAGCCACCACCCACACUGCAAGUCUGGAAGCUCUGCAAGGACCCAGCAAGGCAGCCUGCUCAGCGAAGGCUUUGUCUCCUGUGGCAGGAAGAGCAACAUUAAGAACAAGAACCCCGGGCUGGACUACCCCUGAGAUUUAAUGACCAGAGCUGAGACCCCCAAGACCACAAUGACUAUGGAGGGCUGUCAUUACCCUGCCUGACCCUCUAAUGCCUCUCAGUUCAAGGAGGCCACUGAGUGAAACUGAAGGCUGGUUUUCCUUGGAAGCCAGCGGCCCAUCCACCUGCUCCACUUCCCUGCCUCUUGCAGCCUCCGCUCAAACACUGUCGUGGCUUGGCAGCACUACAAGGCAGAGUGAAAACAGAUACUUCUACCCACAUUCCUAUCUCCUCUCAUUUACGCAGAUUAAAUGCUUUCUUUCCUUGUUUUACACUGCUAGGAUUUUCAUCACCCUGUUUUUUCUUUCUCUACAUCAGCUACAAGAAAAAAAAAAGGAGUUACUGAGCAACUAAGAAGUCACAACUGUUUUCAGUUUUAUUAAUGAGUUGUUAUACUUAUUUUAUAGAUAGAGAAUUACCAUUAUAACAUUGCUCCAUUGCCCACUCAUCCAUUCACGCAUCUGUCCAUCCGUCCAUCCACCCAUUUGUCCACUCCCCAAAUGGUCAUCAAUUGUCUACUGUGAGCCAAGCAAAGUGCUCCUUACUUUGGACUCUGAAUCCAGUGCUCUUUCUACUUCACCAUAGACACAUGCCCCUUGAGUAUAAGGGAGCUUGAUUCAUUCAACAAAUAUCUGUUGUCCAUCUCCAAUGUACUGGCAUAUUCUAAAUGCAUCCAACAAAAACCAAAAUGAAAAAAAAGAAAAACCCAUUCCUUCAAGGGGAUUGCAUUCGGACUGGGGGAGACAGAUAAAAUAAAAAUAAUGAAGUCAAAUAUAUAUGUUAGUGACAUGUGCCAUGAAGAAUAAUGCCCAAUAGUAUUUCAGGGGCUGCCAAGCUGCUCUCCUGUUUCCUCUUCCUUGGGGCUGAUUGCAUCCCAUGAUGUGCCCAGGUUUUGAGAUGCUCCUCGUGAAUGAAAAUAGGACUGUCUGGUUCCUCCAUCCAUAGCAAGGGAGCCUAGACAGAAAUAACUUCUGUGCAUUUCUCCAGCUACAUUUAGCUGAAAAUAUGUCUACGUGAGGUUAACUGUAUUUACCCAAUGCCAGAUACCUGAAAGAGUGUGAAAAAUUAAGGGAAAACUAGAAAAUACAGAAAUAUAUCAAGAAGAAAAAAAAUUUAAAAAUGACCCAAAAUCCCACCAACCAGAGACAGCUAUUAAUGAUUGUGGUAUAUUUAUUGUAAGUCUCUUUAUUUCUGUCUUCAUGCAAACACAUUUUUAAAGAAUGGACACUGGUAUUAUAUUGUUUAUACAACUCUAAAUGCUGCUUUUUCACUUAUUACAAUUAGGACUUUUUUCAUGUUAAUAAAUACUUCCUGAAAACAUAAA